UAUCAUACUAGCAGCAUGUGGCACUAUUUGUUACUAAGAUACUGGCGGCUAGAGUUUAUACACAUAGAAAUGUAUGUAAAAUAUAUAAAUGUAUAAUGUAAAAAACAUCCAUGCACAGAAGAAACUCAGAAUUUCUUGGAUAAAUUCAUAAGCAUAUACACACAUACCUUCACAUUUAUAACAAUGCACACACACACGAUUUCCUGGCUAUAUCCACAUGUGUAAACAAAUGCAAGUGCUCGAAUACAUUUAAUUUCUUUCAAUUGAUUCUGCAUGUUCCUAAUUUAAGGGAGCAACUGACCAUCGCUGCCAAGACUCUUCCAGUGAUCAGGGCAAUGAAACAGGCUGUCUACAAACCAUAAAAGGCUCAUUAACUUAACAAAAGGCCAACACUCUGGAUUUGGUUUCCCUUAGAAGCAUUAACACUAUUAAGCAAUGUUCCAUCUUUGGGGUGUGUGGAAGAAUCCCAUUUCCAGCUUCCUGUCAGCUUCUAAAUCAACACCAGGACGGGACAUGGCUUCUGCUUCUAUGCGGUCCUCUGGCUCAGCAAGAUUUUUGCAGCAUUUGCAGAAACUUAAAGGACCAGCACUCUUUCAAAAAGCAAAGAGCUCCCCUGGGGGUGUGUAGCUUGGUGGUAGAUACCGCAUGUUGCUCAAGGCCUUCAGUUCGAGCACUGGAGUGUGAGCACUCACACAGACAAAGCAAAGAAUUUCACAAAUGUGUCUUUUCUAUUUCUUAUAUAAGAACACUGAAAAAUGAGGAUAAGGCAAGUGAGUUCAAAUGUGGCUUCUGUGAACGAGGAUGGUUGUUUGUAAGCAGGCAUUCGUCACACGGCUCCCCCAACCCCACCCUGAUUCUUGAAAGCCCUUAA
rnacentral:lncRNA from 1 species